GACGAACGCUGGCGGCGUGCUUAACACAUGCAAGUCGAACGGAAAGGCCCUGCUUUUGUGGGGUGCUCGAGUGGCGAACGGGUGAGUAACACGUGAGUAACCUGCCCUUGACUUUGGGAUAACUUCAGGAAACUGGGGCUAAUACCGGAUAGGAGCUCCUGCUGCAUGGUGGGGGUUGGAAAGUUUCGGCGGUUGGGGAUGGACUCGCGGCUUAUCAGCUUGUUGGUGGGGUAGUGGCUUACCAAGGCUUUGACGGGUAGCGGGCCUGAGAGGGUGACCGGCCACAUUGGGACUGAGAGACGGCCCAGACUCCUACGGGAGGCAGCAGGGGGGAAGAUUGCACAAUGGGCGGAAGCCUGAUGCAGCAACGCCGCGUGCGGGAUGACGGCCUUCGGGUUGUAAACCGCUUUCGCCUGUGACGAAGCGUGAGUGACGGUAAUGGGUAAAGAAGCACCGGCUAACUACGUG
rnacentral:rRNA from 1 species